GCACACAUGCAGCUCUUAGGCCCGGGCCGCACGUCUCAGAAGCCCCGUGUGCGACUUUGACCGCCGCACGAUCCUCUGCCGGGGGAGGUGGGCCCGCUGCGCUUUGGGAGCACCCGCGCCCGACACUGAGGUCUCGGUGCUGUGUUCGGCCUCUUCGUCCCUGCGGGUCCCCUCUGGGAGCAGAGGCGGUCGGAAAACCCUGGGGCUGAAGUGCAGGCUUCGGGAGGACGCGACCUGCCAAGAUCAGCUCCCGGCACGUGAUGGGAGCCUGGCUCACCUUCCCCCAGCGCACGAUGGGCCGCAGCCUCCCCGGUCGGCCUGGCCUGCUGGAAAGGAGCAGCUCUGUUUCCAGAGGCUUCUGGCGAAGCCCACGGCCUCCCAUUGUUGGCUGAUUUAUAAGGAAAGAGGGGAAAGGCCAAGUGUGGAUGCCAUUAGCAUAACCUAAUCCAGACCCCAUGACAAGUCCAGGAUCCUGCAGGGAGAGGGCAUCCUUGAACGUGAAGGACUGGCUUUGGAAACUUGGCCUCCCGGAAGAAAGGUCUCCGGGCCCACCCACACCCACCUUGUGGACGCCCCCGCAGUCGAAUACACUCCACAGGAAGACGGACCACAAACAGCAGCAGCCUCCGGUGUCGGCCCAGUGAUCCGGGAGCUCAGAGUGUAGGUACCUGACGGCUUGACUCGUCCCCAGGACAAGGCCUGUGAGAGGGAGGGGGGCACUCUGAGUGUGCGAAUGUGUGAGUGUGUGUGUCUGGGCACGAGUGUGUAUGCGUGUGUGUGUGCAUGUACUAUAUUCACAUGUGUGAGAGUGUGAAUGUGUGUGUCUGUGGGUCUGGGCACAUGUGUAUGCAUGUGUGUGCGAGUACUAUAUUCACGUGUGUGUGAGUGCGAAUGUGAGUGGGUGUGGGUCUGGUCACAUGUAUGUAUGCAUGUGUGCAUGUAUUAUAGUCAUGUGAGUGUGCAAAUGUGUGAGUGUGGGUCUGGGCACACAAGUGUGUAUGCAUGUGUUUCUAUUGUAUUCAUGUGAGUAUAAGUGCAAAUGUGUGUGUGUUCUCUGCACACACAAGUGUAUAGGUAUGUUUGUGUGUGCAUGCAUUGUAUUCAUGUGAGUGUAUGUGAAUGUGUGACUGUGAGAGUUUGAGUGUGCCUGUGUGUCUGGCUAUACUAGUGCGUGCCUGUGUUCGUGUGCAUCAGUCUGGGUGUGCCCGUGUGUGAAUGUGAGUGUCUAUGCGUGGGUGUCCCAAUAUGUGUGUGCCUGUGUAUCCAUGUCUGGGUGUGCCUGUGAGUGUGAGUGUGCACAUGGGUGUCUGGAUAUGUGAGUGCUUGUGACUACCUGUGUGAGUACCCAUGUCUAGGUGUGCCCGUGGGUGUGAGUGUCUGUGCGUGGGUGUCUGGAUACGUAUGUGCCUGUAUGAGUGUGUAUCCAUGUCUGGGUGUGCCCACGGGUGUGAGUGUGAAUAUGUAAGUCUUGCGUGUGCAUGAGUGUGUUCACAUGAGUGUGAGGGUCUGUGCAUAACAGCCUAUUGUGUGAGUGUGUGCAUGUGGAUUGCAUUUAUGUGAGUCCGUGUCUGUGCACGCACGUGUCCCCGCACAAGCCAGCCCGAGAGGGAGUGUCCCCUGAACACACCCUGGCAGCACUUGCAGCGUGACGAGGUUGAGGGAAUGUGUCGCUGAGGUCGUAAAUGCCUCUCGCACGUCCCAACACGCUGGAGCAACAGCAGCCCGUGACGCCGGCCGUGCAGCCGUGAAGUCCGUGGAGCGUCCCUAAUCACUGGGGGUUCUGCUUUGCGGCGACAGCGGUGCUACUCACAGCUCCAGAACUCUGCAGCUUCCCCCCUGAAACGGGAACGGGAAGGUGGCGCGGGCGUCCACACCUCGAGCCACAGCCGGCGGGAGGCACAGGCUGGCAAAACUGCCUCUCAGUAGUGAGAAGAGACAAACAAACCGAACGCCAGGAGCAGAGGAAACGAAGACGAUGUGGCCAAGAAAAAUUGCAUUUUUCUUUCCAGUUUUGCUAAAAUAGCCUUCUCAUUGGCUGCGGCUUUGGAGGUGGCAGAAAUCAUACGUUUAAUCACGGCGCCCUCCUGCUUGCCAAGGUUAGCAGGGGCUGCACUGCUGUGCCCUCCUGUCCCUGGAGGCUCUGGUGGCCCCAAGCCCCACACUGCCAGGCUGGGUGCCAAGCUGCCGUGACCCCGGAAUUCGGCCUGUGGUGAUCGGUCUUCCCUGGCACGGAGCUGAGUUAGGGGCUCUAGAAUCAGUCCCAGCCACGUGAGGCUCUCCCUGGGAUGUGAGGGUCGUCUCGUCUGUUUACACGGGGGCCACAGUGCAGAUCCCAGCCCGGGCAGGGGAGGGGCAAAUCUAUGCCCACUUCAAGCUUCCACUUCUGCCCGCCUCAAAGUGCCGGAGACUCCGGCACCUCUGCGUUCCUCCUUCCCGGUAGGAACAGAAAGCUGGGAAAGGGCUGGGGUGGCAAGGAAGAGCCCCAGGAAGACGCGAGUGGCUCUCCCCACUCCCUACAGGACCUCCCUCCCCCAAGCCCAUGGGCCGCCUUCUCCAGGGACGCUUCCCUGUCCCACCCACCGGGCAAGGUGGGCCCAGCAGGGUCUCCUUUUCACCGUGCGCCCCCUCCUGUGGCCGGGUCCUGGGCUGAUGACUUCACAUGCUGCUUUUACAAGUCAGGUUUAUUGCGGUAUCACGUACACACAUAAGGCUCACCCCUUUUCGAUGCACAGCCGACGACUUGGUAAGUGUCCAGAGUGGGGCACUUCUGCCCCGACAGAGGCAGCCCACAUUUUGCCCCUCUGCAGUCAGGCCCCUUCCCGGCCUCCAACCACCACCUGUCUCUCCUCGGUCCUACAGCUUUGCGUCCUCCAGAAUUGUCCUGUGAGUGACUCCCACAGGAUGGAGACUUUUGUGUCUGGCUUCCUUCACUUCGCAGCAGGCUUCGCGGGACCCGUGUGGUGGCACCAGCGUCCCGCCCUUGGUGCUGCUGAGCUUGGCUCUGCAGAAACCCAUGAAAGAGGAUCCUGAAAGAGCAAGGGCGGCCUCCAGGUGAAGGUGGUGGGCGGCCUCCAGGUGAAGGCGGCCUCCAGGUGAAGGUGGUCAGCACCCUCCCUUUGGCCAAGAGGAGACUGCAGUUUCAACUCAAAGAUUAUUCCUGAAUGAUGCAGCAAGCUUAAACUUCCUUAAAAACAAACCUCUGGGAAGAGGAAAACGAGGCAAGAUGCUGAGAAAAAGUCAUCUCCCACUCUGCCCUUCUCUGGCAAAUCGAAGUGUCCUCUUGUGGGAGGCGGUGGGCAGCGACACUCCUGUUGGACGUCAGUGCUCUCGGGAUGGGCCCGGCCACCCCGGAGCAGAACUCACUUAGGGCCUGGUGCCCCUGUGCCCAGUUCUCAGAACGUCGGAGUGCUCAGUUCUCAGAACGCCGGAGUGCCCCAUUCAUAACCUGCAGCCCCGUUCAUAGCCUGCAGCUCCCCUCCUUCCUCUCCUCCCGGUCGUCAGGGAGCACCCCCAGCUCCCCUCCCCACUCUCAAACCCUCCUCCUCCCUCCCCUCUCUCAUUUCCCUGUUUGCAGGAUCUCCUCCUGCCCACUCUCCAGCCCAGGUCCUCCCCUCUCAUCUCCAAUUCUGCUUCAUGGGCCAUGACAGCAGGCAGGCCAUGGCCUGCUCUCAGCAGUUUGAUCGAUGGACUAAGGAGAUCACUCCUAUGAGAGUGAAAAAGUCAAAUGUGCCUGAGAUUCGGAUGGGGAGCUCUCAAAGCUACGGAUUGCAAGAGUCAACACCGCCUCAAAAGUACAAGGCCGGCCGGGUGCAGUGGCUCACACCUGUAAUCCCAGCACUUUGGGAGACUGAGGCGGGUGGAUCACCUGAGGUCAGGAGCUCAAGACCAGCCUGACCAACAUGGUGAAAUCCCGUCUCUAUUAAAAAUACAAAAAAGAUUAGCCGGGUGUGGUGGUGCAUGCUUGUAGUCCCAGCUACUCGGGAGGCUGAGGCAGGGGGAGCACUUGAACCCGGGAGGUGGAGGUUGCAGUGAGCCGAGAUUGCACCAUUGCACUCCAGCCUGGGCAACAGAGUGAGACCCUGCCUCAAAAAAAUAAAAAAAUAAAAGUACGAGGCCCGGUUUAAAUGCAGGAGGAAUCUGGUGAGCGAGUUUCACUCUGAUGCAACAGAAAAGCCAAGCCAAGCCUUGGCUGUGCCUGGUCUUGGCCGGGGAGCCACAGGCAGGGUCUGCUGGUUUCGGUGUCAGGGGCACAUCCCCAGGACCACGUCUGAGAUGGGAAGUGCCUUGAUGGAAAACUGAUACCUUUUUCUUUCCGAGUAACUUUAGAACAUGUCGCUUCAAAUAUAACUAAUAUCCUGAUUUCAGUGGACUUGCAUGGAAGGAAACGCAAGUUCAUUUGCCAGUGGGGGGUGAGGACUGGGAGAGUGGGGAGCAGGGUGGGGAAGAGGGGAGCAUUCCACAAGCCGCAAGAGCCUGGACACCUCCAGCCUUCAAUAAAUAGCAUUUGAAUUUGCUGUGCCUAAUUCAACCUUGCAUUUGCGUAGUGAAAGUCAGGCCCGCGGUGUGUAUAGUUUGGCACAUGAGUUCAGCUCGGGUCCCCUUGAUCUGCUUCUGUGUUCUCACUCUCUCCCUGCCCGGCACGCCCCUCUUUUUCUAUCCAGAUGAGCGAAGGGGUGAAUUAGUCCAGAAAUGUUUCUGCUCCAGUCAAACAAACAUUAUCACCUGUCAGUCAAACAUUAUCACCUGUCAGUCACCAGAGACGUGCACGGG
rnacentral:lncRNA from 1 species